rnacentral:tRNA from 1 species
UUAAUAGAUAAACUCUUACUGUUAAUAAGAGUUAGAUAAAAUAUCCUAUUAAUAAG